GCCCUGGUGGCACAGUGGUUAAAUGCCUGUACUGCAGAUCACGAGGUUGCGAGUUCAAUACAAGCCAAGGGCU
rnacentral:tRNA from 1 species